AACGAACGCUGGCGGCAUGCCUAACACAUGCAAGUCGAAUGAGACCUUCGGGUCUAGUGGCGCACGGGUGCGUAACGCGUGGGAACCUGCCCUUAGGUUCGGAAUAACUCCCCGAAAGGGGUGCUAAUACCGGAUAAUGUCUUCGGACCAAAGAUUUAUCGCCUUUGGAUGGGCCCGCGUGGGAUUAGCUAGUUGGUAGGGUAAAAGCCUACCAAGGCGACGAUCCAUAGCUGGUCUGAGAGGAUGAUCAGCCACACUGGGACUGAGACACGGCCCAGACUCCUACGGGAGGCAGCAGUGGGGAAUAUUGGACAAUGGGCGAAAGCCUGAUCCAGCAAUGCCGCGUGAGUGAUGAAGGCCUUAGGGUUGUAAAGCUCUUUUACCCGGGAUGAUAAUGACAGUACCGGGAGAAUAAGCUCCGGCUAACUCCGUG
rnacentral:rRNA from 1 species